rnacentral:ncRNA from 2 species
GAUACCGUCCUAGUCUCAACCAUA